rnacentral:SRP_RNA from 1 species
GCCGAGCUCAGUAGCGUGAGCUUGUGACCAAAGUGGAGGCAUUAAAGUGAUGGAAAUAUCAUGUUU